UACGAAGGGGACUAGCGUUGUUCGGAAUCACUGGGCGUAAGGCGCACGUAGGCGGAUUUGUAAGUCAGGGGUGAAAUCCCGGGGCUCAAUCUCGGAACUGCCUUUGAUACUGCGAAUCUCGAGUCCGAUAGAGGUGGGUGGAAUUCCUAGUGUAGAGGUGAAAUUCGUAGAUAUUAGGAAGAACACUGGUGGCGAAGGCGGCCCACUGGAUCGGUACUGACGCUGAGGUGCGAAAGCGUGGGGAGCAAACAGGG
rnacentral:rRNA from 1 species